rnacentral:rRNA from 1 species
GAUGAACGCUGGCGGCGUGCUUAACACAUGCAAGUCGAACGGAAAGGCCCUGCUUUUGUGGGGUUCUCGAGUGGCGAACGGGUGAGUAAAACGUGAGUAACAUGCCCUUGACUUUCGGAUAAAUUCAGGAAAAUGGGGCUAAUACCGGAGAUGAUCUCCUGCUGCAUGGGGGGGGUUGGAAAAUGUCGGCGGUUGGGGAUGGACUGGCGGCUUAUCAGCUUGUUGGUGGGGUAGUGGCUUACCAAGGCUUUGACGGGUAGCCGGCCUGGGAGGGUGACCGGCCACAUUGCGACUGAGAUACGGCGCAGUCUCCUACGGUAGGCAGUAGUGGGGAAUAUGGCGCAAUGGGCGGAAGCCUGAUACAGCAACGCCGCGUGCGGGAUGACCGCCUUCGGGGUGUAAACCGCUUUCGCCUGUGACGAAGCGUGAGUGACGGUAAUGGGUAAAGAAGCACCGGCUAACUACGUG